GAUGAACGCUGGCGGCGUGCCUAAUACAUGCAAGUCGAGCGAACAGACGAGGAGCUUGCUCCUCUGACGUUAGCGGCGGACGGGUGAGUAACACGUGGAUAACCUACCUAUAAGACUGGGAUAACUUCGGGAAACCGGCGCUAAUACCGGAUAAUAUAUUGCACCGCAUGGUUCAAUAGUGAAAUACGGUUUUGCUGUCUCUUCUAGAUGGAUCCGCGCCGCAUUAGCUAGUUGGUAAGGUAACGGCUUACCAAGGCGACGAUGCGUAGCCGACCUGAUAGGGUGAUCGGCCACACUGGAACUGGGACACGGACAAGACGACUAAGGGAGGCAGCAGAAGGGAAUGUUCCGCAAUGGGCGAAAGCCUGACGGAGCAACGCCGCGUGAGUGAUGAAGGUCUUCGGAUCGUAAAACUCUGUUAUUAGGGAAGAACAAAUGUGUAAGUAACUAUGCACGGCUUGACGGUACCUAAUCAGAAAGCCACGGCUAACUACGUG
rnacentral:rRNA from 1 species